rnacentral:tRNA from 1 species
GAGGGUAUAGCUCAGUUGGUUUAGAGCGCUUGCUUGACAGGCAAGAGGUCCGCAGUUCGAGUCUGCGUAUCCUCACCA